UACGUAGGGACCGAGCGUUGUCCGGAAUCAUUGGGCGUAAAGAGCGUGUAGGCGGCCUUUUAAGUCCUGCGUGAAAUCCUGCGGCUCAACCGCAGACGGUCGUGGGAAACUGGAAGGCUAGAGUGCGGGAGAGGAGAGUGGAAUUCCCAGUGUAGAGGUGAAAUUCGUAGAUAUUGGGAAGAACACCGGUGGCGAAGGCGGCUAUCUGGCCCGUAAUUGACGCUGAGGCGCGAAAGCGUGGGGAGCAAACAGG
rnacentral:rRNA from 1 species